UUGUGACUAACCUAAGCCCUCCUACGUGUACACGCUCGACGCAGCUAGCCAACUUUAUUGUCACGCGUGCAAUAGAGUACCUAUUAAAGGCCAAGUUCGGCCUGGCCAGCCAGGGUUCACGCUAGACAACGUCAACGAUUUAUUUGGGGUCGCCGUCAUCGAAAACGAUGAGGAGGAGGAGGACUAUACUUACUAACGAUGACACGGCACCGCCGCGUAAAACAAACCUAUGCCGAAAAUCAUAGUUUCAAGUAUUUUGAAUGCUGUAGCCAGAAGACUGCCAGACAAAUGUGGAUUAAUAAGGUUGUGGAGAUAAAAAAAAAUACAUCCACACUACAGCAUCCGAAAUCUCAAAAUCAUUUGCUUCUAUAUCGAAGAGCUCUCUGGAUUUUUUUGAUGACUUUCCGGUCACUUAUCUUGACAUAAAUGCUGAAGGAAUUAAUUAUGUCACUUUAAAAGGAGACGAAGAGCAGGACGGUAUUAUAAAACAAAGUUAAACAUCACGGCCCGAAGACCACCCAAAUGAUGAAAAUGUAUUAACUAGGUUCAGUUCUUUUCAAAUUUGUAUUAAGGGGAGAAAAUCCAAAAUUAAAAUUCAGAUAAAAACUUUAAUACUGAUUUAAACUUUCACGAUUAUUAAACAUUAUCAAACUGC